UACGUAGGGGGCAAGCGUUAUCCGGAUUUACUGGGCGUAAAGGGCGUUAAGGCGGUUGGCAAAGUUGGUGGUGAAAUUUCAGGGCUCAACCCUGAAACUGCCUCCAAUACUGGUCGACUAGAGUACGAGAGAGGAAGGUGGAAUUCCCGGUGUAGUAGUGAAAUGCGUUGAUAUCGAUAGGAACUCCGGUGGCGAAGGCGGCAUACUGGUCCACUUCUGACGCUGAGGCGCGAAAGCCAGGGGAGCAAACGGG
rnacentral:rRNA from 1 species